rnacentral:rRNA from 1 species
AGAGUUUGAUCAUGGCUCAGAUUGAACGCUGGCGGCAGGCUUAACACAUGCAAGUCGAGCGGAAACGAUGGUAGCUUGCUACCAGGCGUCGAGCGGCGGACGGGUGAGUAAUACUUAGGAAUCUACCUAGUAGUGGGGGAUAGCACGGGGAAACUCGUAUUAAUACCGCAUACGACCUACGGGAGAAAGGGGGCAGUUUACUGCUCUCGCUAUUAGAUGAGCCUAAGUCGGAUUAGCUAGAUGGUGGGGUAAAGGCCUACCAUGGCGACGAUCUGUAGCUGGUCUGAGAGGAUGAUCAGCCACACCGGGACUGAGACACGGCCCGGACUCCUACGGGAGGCAGCAGUGGGGAAUAUUGGACAAUGGGGGAAACCCUGAUCCAGCCAUGCCGCGUGUGUGAAGAAGGCCUUUUGGUUGUAAAGCACUUUAAGCAGUGAAGAAGACUCUUCGGUUAAUACCCGGAGACGAUGACAUUAGCUGCAGAAUAAGCACCGGCUAACUCUGUGCCAGCAGCCGCGGUAAUACAGAGGGUGCAAGCGUUAAUCGGAAUUACCUGGGCGUAAAGCGAGCGUAGGUGGCUUGAUAAGUCAGAUGUGAAA